CUACAUACAAAAUGCUCCCCUAACAUAUGACGUGAUCUCAAGAACUCUGAACAGAGGGAUAUAACAUCAAAAAAACACUCUUGGCUAUGUAGACAUAGCUGAUGCUUGCUCCACGUUUGAAAAAAUGCUUCUGUGGUCAGUAACAUCUGAAUGUUGUUGGGUGAGGUAACCUAGGGUUGCCAUGGAGACAGGUUUUCCGGCUGUGCCUGUAUCAUGAAACUUCACUGAGUUGCUUCUCAUCUGCAGCUGAACGCCUGGAUAUUGAGGGAAGAGGGUCAUGCACAAAUCCCAGACACAUUCUGAAAGAGAACAAAGCUGUGGCAACAGGAGACUCACCAAGCCCUUUCCAUCGAUGGACCUCAAAGUCCCAUUUGUGCCUAAGGAGAGCAAUCUGGGGACAGAAGUGGCUUCUGAGCACCUACGGAAGUGUCUAAGUACACCCUGACAUGGAGCAAGCACCCAGAGCGUUCGCAGAGUGAAUCGGUGAAGGAGGAGCAUGACGGGACAGUGAGUUAAGAACACAGAUUUUGGAACGCCUGGGUUAAAACCCCAGCUCUUCUACUUCUUCACUCUCUCUCCCUGGACAAGUUAUUAAGCCAUUUUAUUUUGCCUCAGUUUCCUCACCUAUAAAAGGGGGAUAAUAGCAGAACCUACAUCAUAGAGUUGUUAUAAGGAUUUAAUGAGUCGACGUAAGUUGUUUGUUAAAUAAAUAAAUGAGAGGCAUCCA